rnacentral:lncRNA from 1 species
AUCGAUCGGGAUUCAGAUGGUCGUCCAUCCAUCGGAGGUUUCUGCAAGCGGAGGGAAAUUUCUGUAAUUCUCCGACGAGCUAGUAGUGCCUGCAGAAAACGAAUUACCAGUACAACUCCCGGCAUGAGCAAUCGGAUCUAAUCCUAGAGUAAGAUCCAACUCGAUCUUUUCAUUAUCGGCGAAUCCAUGAAACUCGUUCUGUUUCUGGUUCAUCGAUCCGAUUGAUUUGUUGGUGUGUACAUGACGGAUAUCGUAUGCGCAGGAAUAACCGGGAGUCGUCGUCGUUGUCGGCGGCGGCGGCAUGGAAAUUUGCGCAUCGAAAUUGGAGUUGGUAAUAUCUUCACCUUUCAGCACCGCAUCGACAGCCAUCUGACAUAUCCUCCAAUUCCCUGACGAUAAAAGACCCACA